rnacentral:lncRNA from 1 species
UAUAGUAAUUUAGAAUAAUGAUCCCAUAAUAAUAAUAGAAUAUUACGAAAUCUGAAUAACCCCUCCCAAAGAUCUGAUGUCACGAGUCUAGAGCCUCUAAACAAAACUGGAUAAUAAUAUCUGAAUGGAAAUAAUAAAAAUCUGGAAAUGUAUGUAAUAAUAAUAAACUGGAAAAUGAACAGCAGCCAGGUCCUGCGAAUGUCAUGCAGCUACCUCAACGACUCUGGAAAUAUCUCUGGAGACUAUGAGUAUCAGCUAAGCCUCCGGUGUACCUGAAUCUGCACACAAGGUGCAGGGAGUAGGGGUGAGUACUACCAACUCAGUGAAUAAUAAGUAUGGAAAAAUGUCUGAAAGUAAAAAAUCCACGAAAUACCACAAAGCAAAGCUAAAGUUAACAGUCAUAUUCCUUAGCUACGAACUAACAUCAAACAAUAUCAAAUAUAACACUCAAGUAUCAGAUAAAAAUGCAAUGCAAUGAACAUGAAUGCGCUGCGGCGCGCAGCCCGAGCCAACCAUAUUUAUUUAACGUCGACGGCGCUCACUAGAGGUCUGUACAGACUCCGGAGGGGCUCCUUCAGCCCAAGCGCAAUAUCAAUAUGUAUAUAACCGCUGCGGUGCGCAGCCCGAGCCAUCCUCAGUCCACAGUACCCAUAUAAGUCACAUAACAGAUUCAAUCUGAUUCUUUGCCAGUUUCCAAUUUAUUUCGAUAAUUUUAAUUAGUCAAUUUCAGAAACAAGGUGACAACAUUUAAUGAUAGUGAUUAAACAUAGGACUGAGAUAAAUGAUUAUGUAAAUCAUGUCAUCACACAUAUAUUUACCAUAGCCGGGAACUACAGGUCGGCACAAGGCCCCAAACAUGGCAUUAAGCCCAAUUAUCAACAACACAAUGUGCGUAUCAGANNNNNNNNNNNNNNNNNNNNNNNNNNNNNNNNNNNNNNNNNNNNNNNNNNNNNNNNNNNNNNNNNNNNNNNNNNNNNNNNNNNNNNNNNNNNNNNNNNNNNNCAUAAUUCAUAUUCAGCUCUCGGGAUGGACCAAGUCACAAUCCCCAAUCAUUAACAACCCCGCACCUGUCAUGGGGUGCGAGUCAUGCCCUAAGAUAGCGUCACGAUAUGAUAAACCGGGGUUUCAAACCCUCAGGCCAUCAUCAAUACAAACUACUCACCUCUAACCGGUCGUAGACUGGCAAGUCACACCCUAACAUAGCGUCACAAUGUGAUAAUACCGGGGAUUCAAACCCUCAGGUCUCUUCUAUACAAACUACUCACCUCUAACCGGCCGUAGAUUGGUCCGCAAUGCCCUUUCCUUUUGAAUCUCCGUCUACGAGCGUCGAAUCUAUUCAAAACCACAACGAAUACAUUAUUAUAGGCUAAAUAAACAUAACCCAAUUAAAAUUAUUCGAAAAACUCUAAAAAUCACGAAGUUGGUAAAACCCUGACCCCGGGCCCACUUCUCGAAAAAAUCUGAAAAUUAUAUCUUUGGAUUCCUCGUCUCUCCACGAGUUCGUACAUAUAAAGUUUAUCAAAAACGGAGUUCGUUUACCCUCUCAAAUCACCACUUUACUCUUUCUUAGGCGUCAAGCCCUAACCACCAUAUUUAACCUUAAAAACCUUGAAUUUCAGUGUUUAAUCUACUAUUUUACACCAUAUAGACAUAAUCNNNNNNNNNNNNNNNNNNNNNNNNNNNNNNNNNNNNNNNNNNNNNNNNNNNNNNNNNNNNNNNNNNNNNNNNNNNNNNNNNNNNNNNNNNNNNNNNNNNNNNNNNNCUCUUCAAAAUCGCCCACAAAUCGUCUCUUCCCGAAGUCAAAAGUGUUUUCUUAACUUAUGAAAUUUGCAAACACUGUUUCAUUAAUCCCCUGCGAUUUUCGCUUCCACGACACUCUGACCUCUUCUGCGGUUGUCGCUUCUGCGGUCAAUAGACCGUUUUUGCAUUCUCUUUUGAGUCAACCGGGGCCGCUUCUGAUCCUAAACCACUUUUGCGGUCUCCACUUCUGCGUUCCCCUUGACAGCUUCUACGGUCAAUAGACCGCUUUUGCGGUCUCCUUUGAGUCAACUGGGGCCGCUUCUGCGAUCGUAAACCACUUUUGCGGUCUCCACUUCUGCGUUCCCCUUGACCGCUUCUGCGGUCCCCCUAAAUAGUACAUGACCGCUUCUGCAAUCACUGACCGCUUUUGAGGUAGCCGCUUUUGCGGUGAUUCUUCCGCUUUUGCAGAAAUACCAGAAGCCUCAUGCAACAGACCAGUUCCAACUUCAAAAAUCCUCAUUUUCAUCAUCCUGCAUCACCCCGAGGCCCUUGGGAACCCAACCACAUGCACAUAUAUGUUUCAUUACUUCAUUCAAACUUGCUCGAACAUAAAAACGCUAUCAUAAACAUCAAAAUCAUCCAAUUUUCACGUAUUCAAGCCUAAGCUAAACUAAAACUUCCAAAACUUGCAUUUGAUCCAAAACCCGACCUAAACACCUCCUCCAAAAUCACCAAACGGAACUAUUGCAACUGUCGGAAUUCCAUUCCGAACCCCGGAUCAAAAUCUCACCUAUCAACCGGACUUCGCCAAAUUUUUAACUUAGCUAAUUCAAGCCUAAUUCUACAGCGGACUUCCAAAUUCAUUUCCGAUUUCGCUCCUAAGUCACAAAUUACCAUCCGAAACUAGUCGAUCAUUGGAGAUCCAUUCCGAGCCCUCUAACUCAUAAGUCAAUGCUCGGUUGACUCUUCCAAACUAACAUUCUCAUAAAGAUACUAGUUGUCUCAUUUCUACCCAAACUCUAUCCGAAUUAUCUCAAACGCUCCAAACACAUAUAAUGGGACAUAUGGAAACAUAAAAUGGGGAAAAUGGGCGAUAAUUCACGAGACGACGGAUCAGGUCGUUACACCGUUAAACCCGACAAGUCCCAAUCCGUAACCGACCCGGACCAUAAUCCGUACGGGUUCAAAAAAUCCCGGCCCAGCCCGGCCCAUCCCACCCGUUUAACACUCUUUCCUCUUCCUAAUAUGAGCUUGAAUUGAAUUCCAAUACCAAUCAAUUAGUAUCCUACCGAUUUUUAAAGUCGUAGUGUCAUACUAAUCUCACAUGAACUAAAAUUACUUUGAGCCACCUUUUUGCAUUGUUUAACGGAUUACGGUGCCUACAUGCCCGCACGUAUUAAUUUGUUUUUUAAAUGUUCAAAGUUUUGAAGUUUUAUGUUCAUGUUUGUACACUAUUUGGAAUAUCUAAUUAUAUUUAUAUUUAUAUCUAUUUAUUUAUUACUAUAUUAAAAGCAUGAAGGUGUUUAGCAAAAUGUUAAUUGAACUUUUUGCCCUUCAUUAAAAGAUGCCAUAAUAGAUAAAAUUGUCGGUUACUAUUUUUCUCAAAUUAUUACUUAAUUAUUUUUAUACCAUUUCACCUAAUAAUUAUGCAUAGAUUUAUUUAAAGAAAGUCCUUAUCCCCUUUAAUUUCUUUUCAAAUAUGAAGACUUGAAGAAGCCACUAUACAAGCAUAUCUCCAAGUAAAUUUAGAGAAUUGGAGAAUUGAAAAUGUAUACGUAGCCGCUUAUGAUUGUCCAAUUUGUUUCACAGUUUGUUUUGAUUUGAUUUAGGUUUAGUUUUUUUUUUUUUUUUUGCUUUAUUCUUUGUAGUAUAUUCUCAUGAAUUAAUAUCCAACAAUAAUUUUGACUUUCAAGUUAGAACCCCUCAUAAAAUCUUCGCUAAAGUUCUUGCUUAUGUUCUCCUUACUUUUAUUCACAAUCUAAUGUGUUUGAUCAGGUAUGCUUGUUCAUUUAAAAUACUGAGAAUUUGUUGCUUAAUUAAGAUGUGGUUUCUCUUUUUUAUAAUACGGAUUGUAUAAUUUGCUUUUUCUAGCCCUUCUAUUCUUUUUCUAAAGCACAAUUUUUUCUUUCUUGUAUAGGAUUAUAAAUUUUUACAUAGCAAUUGUCAAGUUCAUUAAUCCAAUACUUGGCGACUUCCAUUGGUUAUUCAACAUUACUAAAAUUAUCUAAAACCGAUCUUUUGUUCGUUAUUUGUAAUAUAUGUUUGUUUUUGUGUGCAUGUUCCUCGAUAUAUUUUUGAAAUAGCAACUACAUUACAACUACAAAAAAUUUUAGGUUGUGAAAUAUAAAUCGCUUAGCUCUAAACAGGUAAAAAUUUAACGCUUUAUGUACUAAUUUACAACUCGCAAUUGUUAUAUUUAAUUUAUAGAAAGGGUCUUGAAAUAAUUUGUUUGACGUAAAUUGCUAUUUUUCAAUUAAUUUAUGCACGUGCGCUAAAACUAGACAAAAUUAUCAUUUACUAUUUUUCUCGAAUUACUAUAUUAAUAUUUUACCUUAUGUCACACCCCUUUUUCAAAACAAACCUCAAUAAACCCUCUUAAAAUAAUAAAAAGAUUUAGUAAAGCUCGAAAAGGAUUUUCCAUUUGAAAAGUGACAAAAAAAUAUUUUAAAAGGAAAAUAACUCAGAGUCGCCACCUGACAUUUGAUUUCGGUGUGCCAGACCACCGUUUUUUUAGAAAAGAUUUUUCCUUUUAAAACACUUGAGACUAUAAAACAAAGUCUACACCAGAGAUUCGUGUAAGGAGGUUCAUUUGACUCGGGGAGAAGGUGUUAGGCACUCCCCAAGUCCCGUAGCUAGUACGGUUGCGUACUUGAUCUAGUUGGCUUUUAAAACAUUCGAUUGAGGUAAAACACGAAAAAUAAAAUGAACACACAAAAGGCAAGAGGUCGUCCCCACCUAAUAAAGUAAAAUCAAAAACUAAAAUAAAAUGCUGCAAGCUCUAGUUUUGGCCUCCAAAUACAAGUACUAUAGGACAUACCCCGGAAUAAAAUAUAUACAAAUCAUUAAGGGCAUGUCUCAGAUAAAUUUAACUAAAGGAAUAACCUCUCGCCUCACAAUUAACCGAAGUUCUAAAGCUUGCCUAUCCAAUGUGGUAGGCCUAACAUGCUCCUAUAGAAUAAAGCAAUAGAAUAAACAAUUAGCACGCUAACUUUCAUCCUUAAUGUCCAACCCCAAAGCAAAUUCGAUAAUUUUCACUAUUUGUUAUUAGACUUUCUCUUGUUUGCAAUACCACAUAGACAAUUAAUUGUUCCCCUAAUACUUAAACUAAUUUACUACAAAGAAAACUAUUUAAACACAAUGAUGGAAAAUAUAACACCUAAAGAAGAACAUUGACUUUAAAUACUACAAGAUCACGGAAAAGACAAAGAUAGAAAAGGCGAAGAACCACCAGUAAGAAUGCAAGGACUAAAAUGGUUUUCAAACUAUCUCAAUAACUACUAAAGUUCUAAAAAAUCUAUAAAAAAAAACUACUGCCACUAUGAACCAAAGCAAGUCUAUGAGAUUAAAUUCUAUUUCUAAAAAUAUAACAUUUGAAAUAUAAGGUUCAUGGAGAAUAUGUCUUUUUGAGCACAAGUUUCCCUAUAGCUUUCAGAUUAUUUCCUUCACUUUUAAUUACUUGGUGAGCUAUUAUGUUCUCAUAACUCUAGACCAAUCAAACUAAGCAUCAUGUUCACUAUCUAUCUAAUGUAGUAGCCUAAAUUAAAUUCACUAAGUUUGCCGACGGUCGAUUGGAAACAUCCUCUUUGCCCUCUACGGUAGGGAUAAGGCUCGUCUACAUAUUAACCUCCCCAGACCCCACUUUGUAGGACUAUACUGGUUAGUUGUUGUUGUUGUCGUAAGUAAGCACGAACCAAGUAGGAGCAAAAAUUAGGAUACUAAAUAAGAUCUAAAAUAUGCUAACACGGAAGCAGAUUAAUCUAAAACAUUCACCAAAACCAAUACGAAAUGAGCUAAAAGAGAAUGAAAAGUUUGACCUUCACAGAAGAAUAAUUUUUCUUUAGUACUCACGGAUUGCAACCUUCCAAACUUUGAGUUACACUGCAGAAACAUGUAGAAAUUGGCUUUGAAAUCAUCAGCCGCAACAGGAACUACGAACGGAAAUCAACGACCAUAAACACCUCGGAUCGAGCUCCGAACCUCAAUUAAAUUCCAUUUCUUCCUGAAGCCAAAUCCGGAAUUGAAAACAAAAUAUGAACAGCAAUUUGCUUGUGUAGGUUUUGGUAUUUUUCUGACUUAAAAAGGAAAGACAAGAACACAAAACUCCUAAUGAACACUAACAGAAACCCCUCUUAAGUUUUUUUUCGUUUUUCUUUUGCAGCUUGCGGUUUCUGCUGGUUGACAACGAAGGAACGGUGGUUGAAGGGGGUGAUCAACUGCCAGGGGUAUGUUUGACGCUGGAGAUGGAGAAGGGAAGGGAGCCGCCACUGAUUUUGGUUGUGGAGAUUAGGUUGGAGGAGACGAUGGCUGGAGGCUGGUUUGUAGAAGUUUUUUUUUGGCAGCUCUUGGUGGAAACGGGUGGCGGCUGCUGCGUUCUUUACGGUGGUAGUAGGUGGCAGAAUGGUGCUUGGUGGUUCGGGGGAUGAGGGAGUCUGACCGACGGCUAUGGCUGCUCUUGGUCUGCGUGGGUUGUGGUCAGAUUUGGGUGGUGAGGAGCGGCAGAUUAGAGAUAAGGGUGGAGAGUGACGACUGGAGGUGGUGAAGGGUGUGGUGGGAGGCUGGAGCUUCUAAUGGAGACUAGGGUUUUUGGAUCUCGAUCUUGAAGAAGAAGAUGAAGUGUCCGGUCAUUUUUUUGUAUCUAUUGUCUCGGGUUAUUUUUUGUGUUCUGUUAAAGAAGAAAGCGAGUAAGGAAGAAAUGGUAAUGGGUUGGGUCUUC